UAUCAUGAGUGAAGCUCUUUCCCCAGGAAACAUCUCCUGACCCCUAACACUGGCAGGGCGCUGGGAUGGCAAGUCCUGGUCGGACAGGCCAGCAUCAGCAGUCCUGGGUUCUAUUCUAACCCAUCCUCUGUCGGACUGUCAGGCCCAGUGGAACCACACACCCUCUCUGGGCCUCCAUUGGUGAUUCACCCGCCAGCCCCCAGACGGAGCUCCCCAAGGGCAGGGUGUUUUCCAAGCCAGCCCUGCAGCCCUAAGAGCAGGUGUCAGUUGACCAAGAGCAGGGCUGUUGACCAGUCGGUGUGGGAGUUGCAUUUUCCUGCUCUAACCUCCCACGGUCAGGACCGUGUGUGAUGCUGACAGGGACCAGCUGCUCUUCCUGAGUCCACCCCCAAGAGCCUCCUGGAGCCCCCAGCCCCGUGUUGGCCCAGCAGGAAGAGAUGUAACAGGAGAAUUAGCAUGCAGGCCGCAUGGCGGAGGCCUCAGUUCACAUAGAGUCUCUAGUGCUUUGGAAGGCGCACUGAGCCACAACUAUACUGCAGGGUGAGAAAAAUCCCCCCCCGCCCCCCAGAGCUCAGCCAUGUACUUUUUAGCUGCAGCUGACCUGGGCAGCCAAGCUCUGGGAUUCUCUGCUCGGUCCGCUCAUUAGUGGGGGUGGAGAAGGAAGUCAUAAUGAGGGCCCAUGCCUGGGGACGAGACCCAAAGAAUGAAAUAAAUCAGUGGAGGCCAACCCAGAAUUCUUCCCUUAAAAUAGCAGAGCCACCGCUCUGCCCUGGUCGGGGGCAUGGGCUGUAUCAGAGUGCGGGACACAUGUCUGCGUUCACAGGCCGGAGCAGAGAGGCCAGGCACGGGGAGACGGUGGCUCUGGGUCAUCUCAGGUGCCUCAGCAGGAAGUAGGCAGAGCGCAGAGGGGGAGGGCUCCAAGCGGGGUGCGGUGGCCUUGGGAGGGUUAUAAGGGUAAGAAGAGUCGCCACGGAACAUUCCAUUACUCAUUCCUUCGUUUAUUCACUGUCUCGCCUCACCAGCACAGAAAUUUCCGGUUGCUGGUGAGGAAAGUGGCCACAAACAGAGAAUCCCACGAAAAUAUAUAAUGGCCCAGUUGUAAUAAGGAUCAUGAAAGCAAUUAUAGAGGAUUGGAAGAUGUUAAGGCAGACGUAAUCGACAUUCAUUGUGCGUGUAUCUCAAGCCUCACAGUAAGCCAGCAAGGAAGGGGCGAUCACAGGAAGCUGAGGCUCAGAGAAGUUUCGCAACUUGCCCAAGGCCACCCAGCUUACAAGUGGCGAUGUUGGGACCCCUGACAAGUUAGGUCUGUGUUCCUAGGACCACACAGGAGCGCCCCUCCCUCUUGCACCCCAGCCCCCGCCCCAGGAGAGGGUAAGUCCGCGGUGGAGAAGUCCACAGUACCUCCUAACAGGAUCGGACCUGGGGACUCUGACUUGACCCUGAGAGUGAUGUUCUUCUGCAUGAGACCCAGUCUGGAGCUGUAUUUGCCAUCUAGAGAAAUUAUCCCAACUCAGUGGCCCCAAAGCAUCAAGAGAAGAUGGGCCUGUUAGGGUAGGCUUUGCUUUCUGGCUGCGGGGAGUCGUGCGGCUCACUCAGUGACCAGUCCCCUGGAGACAGGAAAAUCGUAGAGCCCAGCCUCCAAAGAGCAGAUUGUCGGUCUUCCAUAGCCGAAUCCCAGAACGGCUUUCAAGGAAGAGAAAGUGUGGUUGGGUUUGUCUCCUGCCUCUAUCUCUUACUAGCUGGGUGAUCUCGGGCAAAUGACUCAACCUCUCUGAGCCUCUUUUCCCUCCUAUGUGAAGACUCGCUCAUCACCAAUGUGGAGCCUGGCUAUGGGGCACAGCAUCACGGGUUUCCCCGCCCCCUUCACUUUCAGCUAGACCCCGUGGAGCCUGGUUUUCCCAUCUCUGCCCCUCUGCUGAGCCGUUCGAGAGCCCCUACCCAUGGAAGGGCGUGGAGACGACAGGGUGUUUGAGGCCGGAUGUGAGUGGCAGGCAGACGCGGAGUCUUCGAAGGGGCGGAGGAGGUGAAACUCAGAGCCCCACCUCGCGGCUUCACUGGCGGAGCCGGGAGUUCAAGUUCAUUACAGACCUCAUCUUGUCCCUCCUCACACCAGCCUCCAAAGGCGAGGAUUGCCCUCGCUAUCGUGCAGAUGAGGGAACUGAGGCCCGUGACACUUGUGCGACAUGCCUGAGGCCAGCCAGCUGAUUCCCUGUCUGAGCUGGGGUGCUUGGCUCAGGCCAGGCUCUCUGCCAGGUGUGUGGCUUGUGUGUGUUAACUCAGUCCACACAACCACCUAAUCCGGGAGGGACUGUCAUGAUCCCCAUGGUACCGAUGAGCAAACACCAGCACAGGGAGGUUCAGCGACUGCCCCAAGGUCACAGAGCUUGUCAGUGACAGAGCCGAGCAUCAACCCCGGGGCCACCCGAUGUCAGAGCCGAUGCUUCAGCCAAGGGGCAGCAAAGCUGCCUCAGAAGCUGGUAAAUGAUGGAGCAGGGCUCGAACCGCUGGCAGCCUGACUCCAGAGCUCCCACCUUCUCUACCACCAGACGCAAGGGACUGAGGAGAGAGGCCCAAGCCUGGGCCCCAGGCAGAGCCAGACGUGCUGUGGCAGGCAUCCAACUUCCGGCCCGGCCAACGCUUUGGAGAAGGGCCAGAGGCAGGGGAAGGCCCCCAGUCAAGGCCUUCCCAGAGCUGGUCCUCAGGCACCCCCGGGGCUGGGACCAGUCUGAGCCUGCUGAGGGGAGGACGACAGUCAAGUCUCCCCAACCCGUCCCAGAACAAGGAACCAGCCUCUCCUGCGGUGGGGCUCAGAGACCUGCCGUUCCGAGAGCCUCACACGUGAUUCUGAAGCAGCCUUCAGACCCCAGCUACCACCUGGGACCCGUGGCCAGAGUCCAGCUUAGAAAGUCUGGGGUAUCAGACCCUAUAGAGAAAAGUGACAACAACAGCCACGCGUUGUAUGCGCCAGGAACAUAGCCUGUCCUCCCGUAAGCCUCAUCUCCUCACAGUGACCCAUGAAUGAAGGGGACUCUUGCCAACCCAUUUUUCAGAUGAGGGAACUGACGAUCAGAGAAGGAAGAACUUGCCCGGGUCACCCAGCCGAUUGUUCUAUCGACGCUAACGCUUGCCUUCAACUUACCAUCACGAUAAUCGUUAUCAUCACCAUUGGACAGUGAACCCCCGACCGAACUCUCCCCUGGAACGGCUGUUACUUACAAAUAAUUCCUGUUCUCACUAACAUCGUGACAAAGAGACAGAUGCAACCUGUUUGGGCUUGGUGGUCUGGGAAUCUGUCCUGCUGCAGCACCCCGCGCACAAGCCCCUUUGUCCUCUGGUCCCCACGGUCUGGUCCACAGGGCGGGGUCCACAGCCCCUCCCUGAAGGAGGGGAAACCCUGCGUGGGUUUUGCUGCUGCCUUGCUAGCUGCUGCAUGCUGGGAACUUGCCGACAUCACCAUCCGGACAGUGUUCACGACAACCCAGGGUUCGGACCGGCCAGCGACUUGACCGGAAUCCUGCAAAUACUGAGUGACGAGCCAGCCGUUGGCCUCGGGUCUUUCCGAUUCCAGAGCCCACGUUUUUCACCGACAUAUGGGGCCAGAAGUGCUCCCUCUUCCGUUCCUCCUCUCUCCUCCCCAGCUCUUCGCCCACGGCCCAGCACCCCCAGCGCCCCUUGGACAGGCAGCUGGGGAUCUGAGAUGCCGUGUCACUUGCUGGGACUGUGAGAGGAACCUGGCUUUGGAGACGCCCUAACCUCAUGCACCUGCGCCCCCAGGAUCCGUAGUCCACCCCUGGUUUGGGAACCACCUGUCUGGGGAUGACACACGGGUGCUCCCUUCACUUCUAGCAACUCAGACGUGCACCCAGGGUAACCCUGAGCAUCACCUGCUGCAGAUGUGUGAGUGACGAUCACGCUGUGCCCGGGGUUACUGUCACACAUUUGUUCCAAAGAGCAUCUCUUCUGGGCGUCUGUGACCCUCACAGCAUCCUGAGAAGUAGAGCCUCACUUAGGCCCCUUGAACGGGGAAAACAGGCUCACAGUGAUUUUUGAAGCCAGAGGACUCCAGAGUUCCUUCAGCUUCACGUUGACAGAUAAAGAAGCUGAAACCCAGAGAGCAGUGACCAGAGAGUGUGGGGACCAGCUGACACCAGAUCCCGGGCUCCCUCGGUCCUCAGGCCGUUGCCUAAACAGAAUGGCAGGCAUCCCGCGGGCCAGUCCCGGAUGUUGGUGGUUUUUUGUUUGGUUUUGUUCUUUAGCUUCAGCAGGUUCCCAGUCUGCCUGAUCUCCUGAGAAGCUGGAAAGUGGGGGGGGGGAGGGGCAGAUCUGCCUGGAUUCAGAUCCAGGUCGGCCACUGCCUUGGGGCGUGUGACCUUGGACGGCCCCUCCUUGGCCUCCACAGGCCUCAGUUUUCUCGUUUUUCUCAUCUGUAAAACCUCUCCCGGGACCAAGGAGCUGAGUCCGCGGCUCUGGCCUUCUGGAUGUGCUCCGAGCGCACCGUUCCCCCAGGGGUCUCGAAGCCGGACGUGGUCUACACCACUGCUUGGCUUGGCACAAUGCUCCACUUCCCCGGCGACGAUUUUCAUUCCUCCUGCUGGAAACUUGGCUCCAUGCAUUCGGGCUGAAUAAGUUGAUGUGUAGAAAUUACCCUUUCCUGGAGCUCCUCACAUCAGAAGCAGCAGGUGGGUGCUCUGAGUGCUUCUGAAUGCGCCCCGGAGUCCAGCUGGGACAAAUCUAUCCCUCCAAAGCGACAUCUGCUGGAAGGUGGCAUUGAAUUCUGUCACACCGUAAUAGCUUCUCACUCAGUUCCAGUAACCUUUAUUUAACCGGCGUCGGAAUCUCCCCUCGAGAGGCGCGCGCCCUUGUCUGGGACUUUUUCUGGGAGGAGGGGUCCUGGGAGCCCACUGUGUUACAGAGGACGGAACCCGUGAUGCCGGCAGGGUGAGGGGCCACGGAGCCUGGCAGGGGGGCAAGGGAUAGGCCUGAUGGGGGAGGAGAGGCUGGUUGAAAGGGCCACACCGGUGGGAUUGACUAACUCUGCAGGGUCUGUCACCCUGGAUGGGCGCCCUGGAGACUGUCGUUCAUCCAUUCACUUUCUCACGCACUCGCUCAACAAACACUUGCGGUCAGGGAUGGCCGAGGGAUGUGCAGGUGAAGGGGGACACAGAGGUGAGUGAGAGCUGUUCUUUACCCUCAGAGGGCUCAGGAUCUGUCACAAGAGAUAGACUCUGCCUCAAGAAAUACAAUAAUAGACACCAGGGAGCAGGAGAAGAAGCAUGAACUCCCUUGGGGGGCUGGGUGG